UUAUUUUGAGAGAACAACUUCCGCUGAUUGGACCAAUCAGAGGCGCAAGAGGCGGAGCAGCCAACCAACCAUUCAGCGUGCGUAUGUCGUCAUUGGCUGCAACGUACCUCGCCAUUGGCCGUGAGCUUCUGGGGGGGGAGCGAAGAGGGGGCGGAGAAACGACGCCGGAAAACACAUUUAAACCAAGUUUCGAUAGUUGCCUCUGUUUGCUAGUACUGUGAGAGAACACCGUUACCGGGGAGGUCUGGGUACUGAAACAAAUCCUGGAGCUGCUUUUUGGUCGUUAAUGAAGAGGUCUGGGCCCUAAAACAAACUCUGGAGCUGCUUUUUGGCGUUAACAAAGAGGUCUAGAUGCUAAAACAAACCCUGGAGCUGAUGGUUUUUGUCGAAAACGAGUGAGAUUGGACGCUGAACGGGGCGAAGGUGUCACCACUUCGUCCACCACAUCGUCCUCGAUCACAGAGACGUCAUCCAGGAAUCACAGAGACAUGGUCCAUGAUCGGAGAGACAUUGUUGAGGAUGAGGGAGACAUCGUCCACGAUCAGAGACGUCGUCUAUGAUCGCAGAGACCUUGUCAAAGACGAGAGAGACGUUGUCCAUGAUCAGAGACAUUGUCCCAUGCUUCGUAGAGACCUUGCGAUAGAAUCGGCGGAGACGGGGGUCACCGAUUUGACGGCACUGCCCGCGAUCAUGAAGACAUUGUCAAUGGUCACAGAGACAGCGUCUAUGAUCUCAGAGACAUCGUCCACGAUCACAAAGACAUUGUCCAUGAUCACAGAGACUUUGUCCAUAAUCUCAGAGACAUUGUCCGCGAUCACAGAGACGUAGUCCACGAUCAGAGUCUUCAUGCAGUGAAGAAGUUCUUCAAGACCAGGACAGAGGCCUCCAGGUGUCACCACUUCGUCCAUGAUCGCAGAGACAUGGUCCAUGAUCGGAGAGACAUUGUUGAGGAUGAGGGAGACAUCGUCCACGAUCAGAGACGUCGUCUAUGAUCGCAGAGACCUUGUCAAAGACGAGAGAGACGUUGUCCAUGAUCAGAGACAUUGUCCCAUGCUUCGUAGAGACCUUGCGAUAGAAUCGGCGGAGACGGGGGUCACCGAUUUGACGGCACUGCCCGCGAUCAUGGAGACAUUGUCAAUGGUCAAAGAGACAGCGUCUAGGAUCUCAGAGACAUCGUCCACGAUCACAAAGACACUGUCCAUGAUCACAGAGACUUUGUCCAUAAUCUCAGAGACAUUGUCCGCGAUCACAGAGACGUAGUCCACGAUCAGAGUCUUCAUACAGUGAAGAAGUUCUUCGAGACCAGGACAGAGGCCUCCAGGUGUCACCACUUCGUCCACCACAUCGUCCACGAUCACAGAGAGUCUUCCAACAGUGAAGUUAUCUGAAAGCAGGACAGAGGCCUCCAGGUAAUUCACAAACAGCUUUACAUCAUCUGUGCAACACAGAGCACUGACUCCCUUUCCCUCUCUCCUUCUCCCCCGUGUAUCUGAAACAGACAUGAAAACAUUUCCAGAAUAUCAUUGUUAGUUUAUUCUUUUCAGUUUGACUUUACCUUACUAUACUAUGACAUUUUUUCACUUUAUUGCCUGUGACAUGCAGCUUAACGCAAAGGAACUAUCUUAAAGCAGCCAUCUUACCUUUCUCCACAGACACGCACACUAACAGUGUUUGUAGGUCAGGUUAGAUAAUUGUUUUUGUCAUUUUGCUAAAUAAAACAAUAUUUUUAAA